AUUGAACGCUGGCGGCAGGCCUAACACAUGCAAGUCGAGCGGAUGAAGGGAGCUUGCUCCUGGAUUCAGCGGCGGACGGGUGAGUAAUGCCUAGGAAUCUGCCUGGUAGUGGGGGAUAACGUCCGGAAACGGGCGCUAAUACCGCAUACGUCCUGAGGGAGAAAGUGGGGGAUCUUCGGACCUCACGCUAUCAGAUGAGCCUAGGUCGGAUUAGCUAGUUGGUGGGGUAAAGGCCUACCAAGGCGACGAUCCGUAACUGGUCUGAGAGGAUGAUCAGUCACACUGGGACUGAGACACGGUCCAGACUCCUACGGGAGGCAGCAGUGGGGAAUAUUGGACAAUGGGCGAAAGCCUGAUCCAGCCAUGCCGCGUGCGUGAAGAAGGUCUUCGGAUUGUAAAGCACUUUAAGUUGGGAGGAAGGGCAGUAAGUUAAUACCUUGCUGUUUUGACGUUACCAACAGAAUAAGCACCGGCUAACUUCGUG
rnacentral:rRNA from 1 species